UGCAUGUCUCCGCGCUGUCGGCGUUUUGCCCGGCCUGGAUUGCUCCGUUUCCCCUCGAAGGACACACUUUACUGGCGCUGCAGAACCAAACCGAGACAGGCAGCGGGUCUGAGCUGGACCAGAAUGCGGAGGAGGAGGAGAGCUUUUGAUCGGACCUGAGCAGGAGACACGAACGGGAUCAGGAGACACGAACGGGAUCAGGAGACACGAACGGGAUCAGGAGACACGAACGGGAUCAGGAGACACGAACGGGAUCAGGAGACACGAAGCCCGCAGGACGGGAUGGAAGGCGGGGACGCCGGUUUGUGAGGAGGACGAGUCCGAAAGGAAGGACUGUGGGAUGUGAGGUGGAUCGGACCGCUGCUUGCUUUGCUCGCUGUUCGUAAAUCAGCCAGAGUCUCAGUUCUGAGGAGGUGGGCCAAGUCCCGGGAUAGCAGAGGAAGCGAGCAAUGGAUCGUGGUGGUGAUGUGGGGACCUGGAGCUCCCCCAGUCGGCUCACAGCGCAGCAGUUCCUCUGAAGCAGAGCUGCUACCUGUUGAGAUGCUGUAAACGGAAACACAGUGAAGGGGUUCAUGCUUAUAAAAUUGAUCUGCUCAGUGGUGACAAUUCUCUGCAAAACCAUAAAAGAGCCCAAGAUGUCUGUUGUCUUUUGUGACAACUUCUUUACAAGUUUCAACUUGGUUCAGUACCUGCACACUGCCUUGGCGUCAAGUGCAUCGGCACCGUACAACCGAACCGCACUGGUGGAGCUCCAUUGAUGAGCGUGGGGCCUGUGACUUUAGGGCUGCUGAAGGGGUUCUUGCAGUGAAGUGGUUCAAUAACAAAUGUGUUAACUUGCCUGUGGGAUCAUGGGCUUUUCAACUGUGAAACGCUGGAGCAAAGAGUCCCACGCAAAGAUCACCAUCCCGUGCCCAUCACCUAA